rnacentral:rRNA from 1 species
CCAACUUCUGAAUGUGACCUCGGAUCAGGU